GUAUGAAAAGGGUCAUUGAGAAUGGAAAAAAAAAAUUAGGUUCUUCAAAUCCUCAAUCGCCUCUGGUGGUCCCUCCUCUCUUUGUCAAAAUUUCUGCUGUAUGUUGUUUUCUACUGCCAUUUUUAGUUUCUAGUCCCGAUGCUUAUGUUUUGUGAUGUCCGGUGAUGAGAUUCCUGAUGGUCGAUGGGUAUAUGUUCUUACGGACACCUGAUAAGUACUCGAAACUCGAUCCUGGAUCUUUUGACAGCCCUAUCAAGUGGUACCUCUCUUUUGGGUUCCCGCUGCUUGUCUUCUCUGCCUCCUAUUUCUUGUAUUACUCCAGCUUGAUUUUGUUUGUUGUGGUGUAUGCGACAGUUAAGAGGAUUAAAUUUGGUAAAUUUGAUUGUUGUAGAAUUGCUGUGAACUAUUAUACACUAUGUUGCUUGGACUCUUCAAAAACGUAAAUGGAUGUGUGUCGAUUUCGUCAAAAGUAGUGUAAUAUUUGGAGUCGAAUUCGUCAAGAGUCCAUGCAACUUAGCUUAUACAGGUGAGCUUGCUUAUGUCUUUCAUGCGUUGGCAAGAUAAAAGAUGAAACCCUGUUCUCUUUGGUCGUUGUUGCUAUUUUUGUGCGCUACUUUAUGGACGCCUUGGUUUACUCUAGUGAAUUGGUAAUUAGCUUUGUUAAUCUGCUAGUCUGACUUGCCUAACUCUGUAACCUUUAGUGGUAUGGGUCCCUAUCUAUUUUAAUUUGUUUGGUUUUGAGUUUUCUCUCAACAGGCAUGAUGAAACUUGGUUGCUGUCCCCUUGGAGAUGUUAUUUCAGUCCACAAUUUCUUUCUUAGUUGCGUGUUGGACUUGUAGUUCAAGCUUCAAGGCUUCCUUGCGUGGAGAGGAGUUUGGAAUAUGAGCAGAUCUGUCUGAGAUGUUGCUUUUGCAGCAACUGCUGGUCCAACUUUUGUUCCACUUAUCUCUCGAGUUGGAGGACUCAGUUCUAUAUAAGCGGUUUUGCUUUGCUAAAAUUAUGAGAAGUUGGAGGAUGGUAACUUGGUUGUUGUGGAGCAUGUUAAACAUAAAAAGGUCCUGGUAUGAACACUUGGAUUCCUGUUUUGACAGAGACCUGUUCUAGUCAUUUUAAAUGUUCCAAGGUAUUUAAAUAUGUCUUUUGGUUUAUCAUUACAAGGGCUUCUGGUUAUUUUAUGUGGGGAUGUGUUCAACUACACUUGAGUGUUCUCGUCAUUCAGCACUAUCUAAUGUGCUUUCUCCUACAAUAUGUAGUAAUUUGUUAAUCUAUGUGCACCUUGCAGUUUUUGAAGUAGCUAGAAAAAAAAAGUAGCGGCGGACUUCACGACACGUUUCAGUUUAUUAGUUUCUUGGAUGUGAUAGGCUUGAGUUAAGAAAAACAAGAGAUACUUCUUCUCGAAAUAUGGACAAAUGGAAGCUCAACUCUAGAAGAAACACUUGAUGAAGCGAUUCGAGCAAAGGGAGCAUUAAGAAUUUGGAGUUCUUGAUUUUUAUUCAGUUCGUAAUUAGUUCUAUUUUUUUCUUUAAUUUGUUGAUUCGUGAUUGUUGUAUGUCAAUGUUGGCAAUAUUUUGAUCAGGGUACCUUCCAAUUGAUUUCAUGGUUCUUCUUCUAUUUUGUGAAGGUGGAUGGUCUCUUCUUCAUGAAUUGCAGCUAGUUCUUUCACCCACUACGCUGUAUGAAUAGCUUUUGAGGACUUCCCUUUUUGUUGCCUUCUUGCUGUAACCUUCUGCCAUUACCUUGGUCUCAAUGAUCAUAUCCUUGUUUUCCCAUGUGUAGCUUUGAGGACUUCUCUUUCUUGAUCAUUUUAUUGUGUAUUAUGGUGUGUGAGUUUCUAAUUGCAAUCCGUUGAGUUAUAUGCAAUGUUAAGAAGUUGGAAGCUGGUGCUAUAUGCAUUUUCGGGGGCAUCAAGUUUGCUUUCAGGUUUUGGGCGAUUCCGAGGUUUUUGCUUUGAGAUUCCUCUAUGCAAUUAGUUCUAUUUUUAGCUUUCGCCAUAAUGAUUGGAGAUGAUGUUGAUAUACUAGUGAUCAGGUUCCUCUUAUGGAUUCAGGGGUUGUUCCAUACUUUUGAUUUACGCAAGAUCCUUCAAUUUAAAAAAUGUGUGCUUUUGUACAUUGUUUUGCCACCCUAUCUACUCCCGAAACCUAGCAAUUUCCUUUUUGUUGAAUCAGAAUACUAGCAGAGCUGGGAAUUUGUCUCUCCAUGCUGUGACUUGGAUCUUCUAAUGAAUGUGUCUGCCGUUAUUCCAGACCUAUUGUGUCACAAGCAGUGCUCAAUCAUAUCUGUUUGCAUUUGAUCCCUUGACUUCCAAUUUAAUGCUAAUAUUGAUUUAAUCGUUUCAUCAACUUCUUUUACCUUCUUAUUUGGUUUGGUCAUCUGUUGAUUUCAUUAUCAGUUGUCAAGAAUACAUGGAUGGAACUUUAGUGCCAGUGGUUCUACAGGAACAAGUACAACAACAACAAACCCAGUAUAUUCCCACAUAGUGGGGUCUGGGGAGAAUAGAGUGUAUGCAGUCCAUACCACUACCUCUACAGAGGUAGAGAGGCUGUUUCCGAUAGACCCCCGACUCAAGAUAAAAGGCAGUAUACACAAGCAUCAAGAACAUAGAACACGAUAAAAUAACAUAGGUACGACAUUCAUAAAAUAUGUACAUUGCCAAACAAAGGACACCAAAGUCCACCUAAAUACUUACUAUGACUCAACCAUACCCUUAGCCCUCUAUCCUAAUGUUUUUCCUCCAUAUCUUCCUAUCUAGGGUCAUGUCCUCAGUCAGCUAUAACUGCUCCAUGUCACGUUUAAUCACUUCUCUCCAGUAUUUCUUCGGCCUACCCCUACCUCGUUUAAAACCUUCUAAGGCCAACCUCUCACACCUAGGAACUGAGGCACCUUCUCACACCUAGGAACUGGGGCAUCCGUGCCUCUCCUCAUCACAUGACCAAACCAUCUCAAUCUCACUUUCCGCAUUUUAUCCUCCACUGACACUACUCCCACCUUCUCCCGAAUAAUUUCCGCCACCUUCAACUUUUGAAUAUGCGAAUUCUUAACCGGCCAACACUCCGCUCCAUACAAUAUGACGGGCCGGACUACACAGGAACAAGUACCCAAACUUAAUUUUGGAUCAUCUUAUUUCCCCAAGCUUUCUGCUACUUUGGUGUUCACGUAUCUUCUUUGAUUUUUUUUUCCUUAUGUUUACCAUGCCAUUUGAUUUGGUUUGUUUGGAUGUAUGUUUAUAAAUCACAUGAUGACAGUGAGAGGAUCUGAUUUGGUAAUUUGUAGUUUGGUUCAGUGUACAUCCUUGUGCACCCUGUUUCUUUGCCUUUUUGGUGCUUGCACUGCAAUUUCGAUAUCACCAGGCAUUAAUGGAAGGGAGUUUCACAAUCUUGUCUGGCAUCUCUAGUCACUCCUAUGUGGCAUAGGUUUUCACAGUUUUGCACUUUAACCAUUCCUUUUUUUGUGUGCUGGUAGUCAUUGGAUCUUUCAAGAGCAGUGGAAUCUUCCUUUCAAGGAGCAGCCUCAUUUUUCAAUUACUGUUGAGAUUUCCUUAGUUCAGGCGCUUAGUUCAGGCAUUGAUCUAGUGUCUAGAUUUUUUAUUCUAUUUUCUUCCCUGAUUUUGGAGAUUCCCUUGUCUGGUUUUCAAAAGUGUUGUUAUACAUAAGUGUUCAACUAUGAUAGUUGAUAAAUCUUUCCUCAAGUAGGUAUAAUGUCAUUUUUGCCCUUUUCAGAUUUUAGUUCAGCUUCUUACUUUUUGCGAUGAUCCAACCGAUUAGGUCUCUUAUGGUUGUUGACAUCGGUUAAGUACUCGCUCAAUUCUGGAUCUUUAUAUAGUUGGCCGUCUACUUUUUCGUGUUCUUGCUGCUUAUCUUCUCUGCAUUUGUUUUCGUUUUUACUUAUCACACCAUUUUCAGUUUUGUCUGUUGUGGAAGGAUGUUGGAUCAGAUUUGGAAUUUUUAAAGGUUGAAUUCAGUAAGCUUUCCCAUUCAUGAUGUUUUUGGUCUUUUAGGUGCUUGCACUGCGAUUUGGAUAUCAUCAGGGCUUCGAGAAAAAGGGGGAUUUUUAAUAUUAUCUAUAUCAUUUCUACUGAUUUCCUUUGUAAUUUGGGUUUCACCACUAAAGUAUUCCCUCUCUGUGCUUGCAGCUAUGGUCUUGAAGUAGUAAAUUUAUUCUUUUCGUGGAGCAUCCUUUGUUUGUUGAUUUGAGUUGAGGUGUUUCAUUUAGUUCAGGCUCCUGUGAGUGUUCGAUUUUCAGUUUGGUUCUCUUCUUUAAUUGUGGAUCAUUCAGAGAAGUGGACCAAAAAGGGGUUUUUUAAUCUUGAUCUUGCAUUGUUUGUUGGAUGGAUGUACGUGACAUUUAAGAGGAUUAAAUUUGGAAAAUAUUUAAGUUUGGUCUUCCAGAGCAUGAACUCUUCAAUUCAGCUUUCUACUUAAUUAUUGUGUACUCAGCAGCAAUGAAGUUCUUAAUCCAGAUGCUUAUGUUCUUGGAUGAUCUAACUGAUGAGAUACCUGAUCAUUAUGGACACCUGAGAAGUACCCAAACACAAUUUUGGAUCUUCUUAUGGCCCCAAGUGCUCCUCUACUUUGGUGUAACCCAGAUGCUUAUGUUCUUUGGUGAUUCAACUGAUGAUAUCUCCAUAGUUAUAGACGCAUGAUGAGUGUACUCGAACUCAAUCUUGGAUAUUUUGAUGGCUCUAUAACGUACUCCUCUACUUCUCGUGUUCCUGCUACUUACUUUCUCUGUUAUUGUUUAGCUCACCAGUUGAUUUUGUUUGGUUUUGAUGAAUAUUUUUACCCAUGUGGUGGUGAUAGUGAGGAUAAAAUUUGGAAAUUUUGUAGUUUGGUUUCAGCGUGCAUCCCUUUGUACCCUAGUUCUUUCCAUUUUGGUGGUUGCACUGCAAUUUGGAUAUCACCCGGCAGUGAUGAAAGGGAGUUUCAUAACCUUGUCUGGUCGUAGGUUAGACUUUGAUGGUUUGGAGUUGAUAUUUCUGCUUAAUCUUGUACUGAUCUAUUUCUCCUCACUACCCUCUAUAAACAUCCCUUACUCUCUAUAAACAUCCCUGCUCGAAGGGUGGGGAGGACGGGCAACUCGAAUUCUAUCCUUCUGCCAGUUAUCUGUCUGAUUUGUUGGACUUUAAUUUUCUUUGGGUGCGGGUUUCUGCUCUUUGGUCGUGGCUGUUAUUAGUGGAGGGGGUCAAGGAUAAUUUUAGGUGUUUGCCACUAUGAUACUCAAAACACCGACCUAAAGCAACCGCCUCGAAAAUAUUCAGAUAUACAGCCGCACGAUGUCUUUAUCAUCAUACUCGUCGUUUUGUUUUAGCCUAUAAAUAGCCUAGGCAAUUAAUCGUUUGUUUUGUUUUAGUACCCUUUCCUCUUCUUGUCAAUGGGUUUUCAAUCCAUUGAUUGCCAGAUUGUUUAUUGAUUCUCUUUGAAAGAUGAGUGAUUGAUUUUUCCUGUGGAGGGAGCGAUUGGUUUGUUCAGUGGAGCGGUUGGUUGUGUUUUGAUUUCUUGGCCAUCUUUCAUAAAUCUCACCCUAUCUACUUUCAAAUCUUGCUUUACUACAAUUGCUUAGUUCAUUUGUUUCCUUUUGAUUUUCUGCAUUUGCAACUUUUUUAUCUUUUUUUGUUGAGAAGAAACUUAAGUCUAGGAUAAGUGGAGGAGCCUUUUAGGGGUUUGGGAGUUCUUGAUUUUCUUUUUUGAUCAGGUGUGGUUAAUGAUCUAAAUUAGUUCACAGUUACUUUUUUUGUUUGUAUGUCAACAGUGCCAAUUUUUUAUCAGGUCUGGUUAAUGGAUCAUAGGAGAAUGACUAUGGGGUAUCUUCCAGUGUAUUUAAUGAAUAUCUUUUGAGGAUUUCUCUCUUUGUUUCCUUCUUCUUGUUACAUUCUGCCACUUAUCUUGGUCGUAAUGUUCAUAUUCUUUGAUUUGAUUUCCAAUGUUUUUAGAAAUUGAACGUUCUCUUCCUGGUUUUGGGCAAUUCUGAGGUUUGAGAUCGGGAAAGAUACAAUAGUUCCCAGGUCUUUGACUAUAUAAGUAAUAAAUAUUUCUGUCUCUUGAAGCUUUGUCAAAACUGCUACUAUAUGGAAGUUCUCAACUAAGAUAAUUCUUUCACAAGUGUGUAUACUGCUUUCUGCUUCCAGUUUUAGUUCUUAGUUUAGAUGUUCAUGUUCUUUGAUGAUCCUGGUGUCUUUUAUUGGUUAUGGGUACAAAAAAGUGCUCCUCUACUUUUUGUGUCCUAGUUCUUAGUUUAGACGCCAACUUGUUUGUUGGUAGAUGGAUGUGUAGACCACAUUGGUGACAGUAAUAAAUGAUUAGUAUGCAUUCCCGUAUUUCUUGGUCUCUUUGGUGCUUGCACUCCAAUUUUAGGCUUAGACCAAAAAGGGGAUUUUUAAUCUUGAUCUUGCAUUUCUAAUUAUCUCUUAGGUGGUAAGGGUUUUAUCAGCUUUUCACUCAACUGUUCCCUUCUUUUUGCGCUUGCAUUUGGGUCCUUCAAAGUAGUGAAUUAUUCUUUUCAUAGAGCGUGAGUUUUUUUUUAGUUUUAAGUUUUGAUUUUCAUUUCAGUUUUGUCCCCUAUCAGAGUAGUCCCUCCUCUCUGUCAAAAUUGUCGCUUUAUGGAUGUUCCCAACUAAAAUAGUUUUUUUUUUCACUUGUGUGUUGUAUUCUGCUGUCAUUUUUAGUUUUUAGUCCAGAUGCUUAUGUUUUGUGAUGUCCAGUGAUGACAUUCCUCAUGGUUGAUGGGAAUAUGGUCUUACGGACACCUGAUAUGUACUCAAAACUCGUUCUUGGAUCUUUUGACAGCCCUGUCAAGUGGUCCCUUUCUAUUGGUGUUCUCACUGCUUAUAUUCUCUGCCUCCUAUUUCUUGUAUUACUCCAGCUUGAUUUUGUUUGUUGGGAUGUAUGUGACAGUUAGGAGGAUUAAAUUUAGUAAAUUUUGAUGGCUGGUGUUCAGUUUGCAUUCAUGUGCAUCCUGUCUAGCUUGUUUGUUGUAGAAUUGCUGUGGCAAGAUAAAAGGUGAAACCCUGUUCUCUUUGGUCGUUGUUGCUGUUUUUGUGGGCUAUUUUACGGACGUCUUUGUUUACUCUGGUGAAUGGUAAUUAGCACUUUUAAUCUGCUAGUCUGACUUGCCUAGCUCUGUAACCUUUGGUGGUAUCUGCAGUUUUGCUUUGGGUUGCUAUCGCUUUCAGUGUGUUUGGGUUUGAGUUUUCUCUCAAUAGGCAUGAUGAAGGUUGGUUGUUGCCCCCUUGGAAAUGUUAUUUCAGUCCACAAUUUCUUUCUUAGUUGCGUGCUGUAGUACAAGGCUUCCUUGCCUGGAAAGGUAAGUUUCAGUUUUGGUUAAUUGCUCAUUUGUUCUCAGUUCUUGCUUUUCCCAAUUCUCGCAAUCUUUUAUUACUUUGAAUCUGGUUCCUUACCCUAUGUGAAUGCAGUUCGUUAUGUUUUAUCAUUUUGCUAUAUAGAAGUAUGGAAUAUGACAGAUCUGUCUGAGUUUGCGUUUGCAGCAACUAUUGGUCCAAUUUUUAUUCCUCUUUUCUCUCGAGUUGGAGAACUCAGUUCCAUAUAAGUGUUUUGCUCUGAUAAAAUUAUGAGAAGUUGGAGGACGGUAAAUCGGUUGUUGUGGAGCAUGUUAAAGAUAAAAAAGUCCUGGCACCGGAGAUACUUCUACUUUUCUAUGCAGAGUUGGGUGGAUCAUCUUAGUUCGUCGGUUCAUUAUUGUAAAGUGUAAACUAGGUUUUGGGAUCUAAACAGAAGGAAAGAAAAUGAAAGCUGAUCUUUGACCAGCCUAUGUUGGCACCUACUUGGCAUAGGUUCUACCUACGUGGCAUAGGUAAUAGAGUAGGUGUCAGAAGGUUGAAGUUCAGAGAAUCAGAAGUUGAGAAUUUGACCAUACUACCUAUGAUAGGGCACCUACAGCUCAUAGGUACCACCUAUGGUCCGUAAGUGCUAGAAAUUAAAGAUUUAAAAGAUAAUGUAGAGUUGAAGACCCUGUCACCUACGUGAGGCCAUCUAUGUACCGUAAGUGGCACCAUAGGUGGUCGCAGACUCAAUUUUCCUCUUUUUUUUCAAAGGAUUUCUAUGGUUUCUAUGUAAUCUAUAAAUACUCUUUUGACGUUUUUAGUUAGUUUACACACUUUGAUGCACUUUAUACUCUUAUAAAUAUAUAUUUAUUUCAAAAUUGACUUUUGAUCUCGGAAUUCUCUUGUUCUUGGUUUUUGGUUACGUGAUUAAUUUAAGACUUUAGGUAUUUCUUUUUUCAUUGUUGUUACUUGAUUCUUUUUUAUCUUUUUUUUUAUUUGCAAAUGACUACAAGGGACUAGGUCCCUGGAUACUCAUGGCAACAGUACAACUAGCACGCGUUUGCACAGUUUUGUCCUCUUAUGUAAUAAACUAUGCGGGUGCUGCUUGUACUAUUGAGGACAAGUGGUCUAAUUAUAUUUCAACCCUAUUCAUCACUCAUUUAUAAAAGUAAAAGGAUGCUUCUUCAUCAAGUGUUUCUUGUAAAAUUAAAGAAGUGUUGAAGAGAGGAAAAAGGCAAAACUCAAUUUACAACAUUGCUCAUCUUCUUAUUUCUUUUGUAAGCUAAAAGAGUGAGUGUUCUUGAGUGAAUCCUAAUUUGUAAUAGAAUUACUCAGUCUAUAAGAGUAAUGCUCUUUUGUUUUCUUUACUUUGAGAGUGCUUAGGUAGAGUUGCCUAAGGUCAAAACUGGUUAGAGUUAACCAAUGUUGAGAGAGUCUUGGUAGAGUUGCUAAGGUUAGGCUGUAGUAGAGUUACUACAAACAGGAAGAACCUAGAGUUAGGCUAAAAUCGAGUCUGUAAUCAAGAGGUUGAUUAUAGUGGAUUUCUGAUGAGCUUGAGAGGGGAAGUCGUGGUUUUUCCUCCUUUGGGCUGGGGGAUUUCCACGUUAAAUCUUUAUGUUGUUAAUUUCCUGCAAAGCCUUUAGUUUUUCCAGCACUUCAUAGUUGCUUCAUUGUUCUAUUUUCUAUGACUGAUUUUGAGGGACCAGGUCCCUCACUAUGUGGUGCGACCCCCAAGGGUUCCAACAAUUAGUAUCAGAGACGGUUCACUCUAAAAGGUUCAUACCUAGAGUGUUUUGGUCAUCAUGGCUGCCUCACUGAAUUUGGAACAGGAUAAAAGGUUCCCUUAUACAAAGAGGUAAGAAUAAUCUUUGAAGUUAUUCCAAACACCUGGAAAAGUAAAGAAAAUGCUAUAACUGAGCUAGGGGUAGAGAGAAAAGGAGCAAAAAAGGAGAGAUUCCUGACUUUGAAGGCUUUAGAGUCCGACUCAAGUGAGAAAGACACAGAUGUUGCACUUCUGGCAAUAAGGAUUGUUAGAGUAAUGAAGAAAAAUGGUGAGCUUAGCAAAAAGAAUGGCAAAAUUUAAAUGUGUCACAAAGGUGGUAGUUUUGAAGAUUUCAUUAGGGAUUGCCCAAUGCAAAAGACGGAGAAAAAUCCUAAAAAAAUCAAAAAGAAAGGAAGCAGCUAGCUGUAUAGUCAAAAAGGUGUUGGUUGCAUGGGAAGACUCCUCCAAUGAAUCUGAGAAAGAUAAAGUGUAUGGAGUUGGUUUUAUGAUGAAAAGGGAUGAUAAGAAAAUCAUCUCAGGUUCCUGGUUUUCUCUCAUGGCAACUAAUGAAAAUAAAGAAGAAAAUGGGCAGAAAAAGGAGAUUUUACCCAAAAUUGAUUUAUGGAUAGUGGUUGUUCAAGGCAUAUGAUUGGAAGGGUUGACUGUUUUCUCUCCAUAAAGACACUUCAAGUGAGUGUCUUUUGAAAAUGGUAAAUAUGGGUAUAUCCAAGGUGUUGGAAGGAUUGGAAAAUUACCUCAUCAUGCAAUAGAAGAUGUGUAUUAUGUGAAUGACCUUAAGUACAGUAUUCUAAGUGUAUCUCAAAUCUGUGACAAAGGAAAUGAGGUAAAAUUCAUAUCUAAUGGAUGUACUAUGAAUAUUCAUUCAGAAAUGAAUGUUGGGAUCUUUCUUUCACACUAACCCUAUUUUUAACAUACUAAAACUAGUUUCAUUAUGAUGAAUGAAUGAAUCCAUCCAGGGCAGCUGGUAGCUAGCUUAGACUUCUCGGCCAGUUUCCCGUGUAUUGAUCCAUUGUGUUAGCAAUUUCUUAUUGUCAAGCAUGAAAUAUGGAAGAAUUAUUCUACAAGAAAAAAAGAUUAAAAAAAACAUGUAUGUAGCUGAUCUAGAGUUAGUGGCUGAUGGGGAAUUAACUUGUUUAAGUGCUCAAGGUUAAGAUACUAAUUUAUGGCACAGAAGAUUAGGAAAUGUAAGUUUCUCUUUGUUAAACAAGUUGAUUUCAAGGGACCUAGUCCGUAGCUUGCCAAAGCUAAAAUUUCCAGACAAUAAAGUUUGUGAUGCUUGUGUUAAAGUAAAACAGACCAGGUCCUCCUUCAAAUUAAAGAAGCUGGUGAGUACUUCCAGACCUCUUGAAAUACUACACAUGGAUUUAUUUAGACCUAUUAAAGUCCAUAGUAGAGAAAAGAAGAAAUAUAAGGUGGUUAUUAUAGAUAACUACUCCCGGUUCACCUGGACAAUGUUUAUAAGAACUAAGGAUGAAACAUAUGAGGUUCUUGUGGAUUUUACCAUGAAAAUACAAGUGAAGCUAAAUGGCAAAAUUGGUGAAUUCAGGUCUGACCAUGGAACUGAAUUUGAGAAUUCUCAAGUUGAUGAAUUUUGUGAUAAGCAUAAAAUGAGUCACAACUUUUCUGCUCCUAGAACUCCACAACACAAUGGAGUUGUUGAAAGGAAAAACAGAAUACUCAAAGAGUUUGUUAGGACUAUGCUAAUUAAUAAUAGUCUUCCAAAGAGUUUCUAGGCUGAAGCCAUAAAUACUGCUUGUUAUGUUACUAAUAGGUGCUUAAUUAGAUCACUAAUGAAUAAGACUCCAUAUGACCCGGUAUUCAAUAGAAAGCCUAAGCUAGACUAUUUUAGACUAUUUGGAUGAAAAUGCUUUGUGCUAAACAAUGGCAAGAAAGAAUUGAAAAAAUUUGACUCCAAAAGUGAUGAAGUAGUGUUUGUAGGCUAUUCCUCAAUAAGCAAAGCUUACAGAGUGUUCAAUAAAAGAACACUGUAUGUUGAAUAAAGUGUUUAUAUGUUCUUUAAUGAGUUAAGAAACUAAAUAAAUUCA